rnacentral:rRNA from 1 species
GACGAACGCUGGCGGCGCGCCUAACACAUGCAAGUCGAACGAGAGAUGAGGAGCUUGCUCUUCAAAUCGAGUGGCGAACGGGUGAGUAACGCGUGAGGAACCUGCCUCAAAGAGGGGGACAACAGUUGGAAACGACUGCUAAUACCGCAUAAGCCCACGGCUCGGCAUCGAGCAGAGGGAAAAGGAGCAAUCCGCUUUGAGAUGGCCUCGCGUCCGAUUAGCUAGUUGGUGAGGUAACGGCCCACCAAGGCGACGAUCGGUAGCCGGACUGAGGGGUUGAACGGCCACAUUGGGACUGAGACACGGCCCAGACUCCUACGGGAGGCAGCAGUGGGGAAUAUUGCACAAUGGGGGAAACCCUGAUGCAGCGACGCCGCGUGGAGGAAGAAGGUCUUCGGAUUGUAAACUCCUGUUGUUGAGGAAGAUAAUGACGGUACUCAACAAGGAAGUGACGGCUAACUACGUGCCAGCAGCCGCGGUAAAACGUAGGUCACAAGCGUUGUCCGGAAUUACUGGGUGUAAAGGGAGCGCAGGCGGGAGAACAAGUUGGAAGUGAAAUCCAUGGGCUCAACCCAUGAACUGCUUUCAAAACUGUUUUUCUUGAGUAGUGCAGAGGUAGGCGGAAUUCCCGGUGUAGCGGUGGAAUGCGUAGAUAUCGGGAGGAACACCAGUGGCGAAGGCGGCCUACUGGGCACCAACUGACGCUGAGGCUCGAAAGUGUGGGUAGCAAACAGGAUUAGAUACCCUGGUAGUCCACACCGUAAACGAUGAUUACUAGGUGUUGGAGGAUUGACCCCUUCAGUGCCGCAGUUAACACAAUAAGUAAUCCACCUGGGGAGUACGACCGCAAGGUUGAAACUCAAAGGAAUUGACGGGGGCCCGCACAAGCAGUGGAGUAUGUGGUUUAAUUCGACGCAACGCGAAGAACCUUACCAAGUCUUGACAUCCUGCGACGCACAUAGAAAUAUGUGUUUCCUUCGGGACGCAGAGACAGGUGGUGCAUGGUUGUCGUCAGCUCGUGUCGUGAGAUGUUGGGUUAAGUCCCGCAACGAGCGCAACCCUUAUGGUCAGUUACUACGCAAGAGGACUCUGGCCAGACUGCCGUUGACAAAACGGAGGAAGGUGGGGAUGACGUCAAAUCAUCAUGCCCUUUAUGACUUGGGCUACACACGUACUACAAUGGCGUUAAACAAAGAGAAGCAAGACCGCGAGGUGGAGCAAAACUCAGAAACAACGUCCCAGUUCGGACUGCAGGCUGCAACUCGCCUGCACGAAGUCGGAAUUGCUAGUAAUCGUGGAUCAGCAUGCCACGGUGAAUACGUUCCCGGGCCU